GCCCCACCACCCCACUCCACCAGAGUCAUGGGGCUCUUGCCCUCUUAGCUCCCAACAAUCUCACUCUUGUUCUCAGGGUCUUUGUCCCUCCUCUCCCUCUAUAUCUUCACCACCCAUCUCACUUAUUUAAUUCCACGCCUCCCAAUCUGCUUCUUGUUCCUCUUCACCAAUAACACCAAGUUUGAUGGGAUCGAACAAGGAAGAGAAAGAUGCAAGUUACUCGGAACAUGAAAGAGUUGUGAAGACUAGGAAAGCUUGCUGUUGGUCAAUUUUGGUGAGUGUGGCAGGGGGGCUCAUGUUAGGAUGGUGGGAAUAUCAAUAUCAUCCCACAAAUAGGCAACUGUGGAUGGUGCCCUUUGGUCUCAUCCUUUUUGCUACCCCGGUCAUUGUUUGGUUCUCUGUUAUGGCCUCUGACAUCUGGAAUUUGAAGGAUGGUGAUCAUGUCACAAGGGUGAGUCAACUCAGUAACUCGGUUCCUGCCAAGAAAGAUGGGCAAUGGAGCAACCAUGUGAAUGAUGUAUAGAUUUUAAAAUAUAUUGCUUACGAUUGAUUCUAUGUAAGAAUUCCACCAAUCUCAGUCAAUUACAUACGUGGAGUUUUAUUUA